rnacentral:rRNA from 1 species
CCUACGGGUGGCAGCAGUGAGGAAUAUUGGUCAAUGGGCGCGAGCCUGAACCAGCCAAGUAGCGUGAAGGAUGACUGCCCUACGGGUUGUAAACUUCUUUUAUAAAGGAAUAAAGUGAGGCACGUGUGCCUUUUUGUAUGUACUUUAUGAAUAAGGAUCGGCUAACUCCGUGCCAGCAGCCGCGGUAAUAUGGAGGAUCCGAGCGUUAUCCGGAUUUAUUGGGUUUAAAGGGAGCGUAGAUGGGUUGUUAAGUCAGUUGUGAAAGUUUGCGGAUCAACCGUAAAAUUGCAACUGAUACUGGCAGUAUAGAGGACAGUUGAGGUAGGCGGAGUUCGUGGUGUAGCGGUGAAAUGCUUAGAUAUCACGAAGAACUCCGAUUGCGAAGGCAGCUUACUAAACUGCCACUGACAUUGAUGCUCGAAAGUGUGGGUAGCAAACAGGAUUAGAUACCCCAGUAGUC